GGGGACAUGGCGGUCUCAGUGUCACCAAGAAACCACCUCUGAAGGUUCUGCUCAGCCGUGGAUGUGUUAAAGCGGGAAGUAGGGUCAGUUCGUUCUUGUAUCAGCGAAAAAAUCUGCACAACUGCACAACCUAAGAGUGGAGAGUAAUGUUUUACUCUGUGGACAAAACUGAGGACUUAAGCCCAGAAGGUAGCAUCUUAAGUAAUCAGUAAGAGAGGGGGAAGCUGGGAUGUAGGAGUUUUGCAGCAAAGGGCAGCUAGCAGGAACAAAAUAUUACUAUUAAUAAGAGCAGAAAACUAGAUCUCUCAGGUUAAGGAAUUUAGUGAUUUUCUCUUUACAGGAAGAUGCAACGUUCUGGGCUCACGGAAAUUAUUCCCUUGAUGUGCCCCUGAGCCCUCUGGGGUCAGUAUCCUGUCUUUUCACAGCCUGGGUUUCCUCAGGGCUCCCUGUUAAGCGCGGCUGCGGUCCGAUGGCUGCUAGAGGGCAGGCAUUCUUUGGUCCUUCCUGAGUUCCAGCCGGGCUCACUGGCUCACCUUUGGAGGUGGCUGCAGUUGCUGAUUGACCUGAUAUCCUCAGCUGACUGAUGCAGCAGGCCGUAUUUUAUUUCUCAGUUGAGACAGAUCAGAGUCGUCACCGUCCCCCGCCGCACGCAGGCUCAUUGACGCGUCAUGAUCUUCCUCUAGAUGGUCACGAAGUGUCAAUAUCUUCCUUCCUAGCUGCCCUCACAGUGCCAUGGCUGACAGCUGAAGCAUGGAUCUUUGAGUGAUGCAAACUUGGGUGUGAUGAAAGAUUCAGGCCAACAUCCCACCCCAAAAGAAGUGUCUUCACAAUUUGGCCACGGAAUAUCAGAUAACCCAUACUGCUAUGGUGCAAGCUCCGCUCCUAAUCCUAAACAUGGGUAGCUGCCUUUGCUAUAGAUAUAAUUGUCCAAAUGCUGUGGAUACAUUUGUUAUUAGAUAUGCAUUAGGAAAUCUCAAGAAGCUUUGCUCCGUGUUAUUUAUAAAGCCUCCAUAUCAUGUCAAACAAACCUGACUACUUGAGUGAGCAGAAAUUGAUACAAAAUAGCUGUAUUAUUCAUGCCAUUGUUGUCAUAUAAAUCAAAAAUAAUUUUUUGAUUGUGUAUUGAUUUUACUCUUAAUGGGAAAUGUACAUCAUUUAAUGAAUAACCAACACAUUACUUCACGUGGCAUUUAAUAUCAAAAUUGAUUCAACAUCAGCGUUCCCGUCGUGGCUCAGUGGUUAAUGAACCCGACUAGCAUCCAUGAGGACUCGGGCUCGAUCCCUGGCCUGCCUCAGUGGGUUAAGGAUCUGGCUUUUGCCGUGAGCUGUGGUGUAGGUCACAGAUGCGGCUCAGAUCUGGAGUUGCUGUGCCUGUGUCGUAGACCAGCGGCUACGCUCCUUUUUGACCCCUAGCCUGGGAAUCUCCAUGUGCCACUGGUGUGGCCCUAAAACACAAAAAGACAAAGAAAAAAAAAAUUCAAUAUCUGAAUAGAUUGAUCACUAGAAUUGAAAUAAAAUCUGUAAUUAAAACAAACAAACAAACAGAAAAAAACCUCUCUACAAACCAAAGUCCAGGACCAGAUGGCUUCACAGGCAAAUUCUACCAAAC
rnacentral:lncRNA from 9 species